ACACACACACACACACGCACACGCACACACACGCACACGCGUUACGCUGAUGAUAAUUAUUAUUCUAGUGUAUGAUAUAACACAUGUCCUCAUUUUCCUUUUCAACACAGGAUAUAAAACUAGUAAAACAGUUCCAGGCAAGACGACUACUUUACAGUCCCACAGGAGGAUCUCUGUAAAGCUUGGGCAGAAUCAGCAGUGCAGUCCAUCUACUCCAACCUCAAACCUUCAGUUUCUACCAUCCUACAACAGUAGCCAGUAAGCCGAGGACAUGGAGGUGGAGCAGAGAGCAUGAAAAUGGUUUAACGCCUCACACCCAGCCGUGGAUUAUUACCUUAUACCAUGGCCACAUCCUGGUGUUGAGGAGAUUUACGUUUGCAGAGCGAAGCUGAGUGAAUGGAUCACAAAUAGCGCUUCGAUUUUACUUAUUUUAUAUAUCAGACCAUUAGAGCUAAAAUUCUACUUCUCUGAAUGACACCCAGAGAUAAAGUAGUGCCAAAAGACACUGUGAUGUGAUGUGUGUCUGUGCUGCAUCUCUAAUACAGUAUUCAUGAUGAA